AGCGAACGCUGGCGGCAGGCUUAACACAUGCAAGUCGAGCGGGCGUAGCAAUACGUCAGCGGCAGACGGGUGAGUAACGCGUGGGAACGUACCUUUUGGUUCGGAACAACACAGGGAAACUUGUGCUAAUACCGGAUAAGCCCUUACGGGGAAAGAUUUAUCGCCGAAAGAUCGGCCCGCGUCUGAUUAGCUAGUUGGUGAGGUAACGGCUCACCAAGGCGACGAUCAGUAGCUGGUCUGAGAGGAUGAUCAGCCACAUUGGGACUGAGACACGGCCCAAACUACUAGGGGAGGGAGGAGUGGGGAAUAUUGGAGAAGGGGGUGAAGUAUGAGACAGCAAGGACGGGUGAGGAAUGAAGGGCUGAGGGGGGAAAAGCCCUCUUAACCGGGAGGAUCAUGACAGUACCGGGAGAAGAAGCCCCGGCUAACUCCGUG
rnacentral:rRNA from 1 species